GGAAUUAUAUUUGUUUUCUAAUUGUUUGAAAUAUGGAUGAAAUUUGGAUUUCUGGACCAGGGUCAAGAUUAGAAAGUGUCUAAAAAAUAUAGUGUAGAAUAUAUUUGCUUGAAAAUUUGCAGGUCCAAUAAGAGGGCUUUAAAUUGAAAAUGGAGAAAGAAGAAAAUCCCCUUUGAUGUCGACUAAGCCUGGUGUUAUAUGGAAUAAACAGUGUGUACAUCUUUGGCAGGCAUUUUGGUGUAGUGUAGAGGUCAUUGAAUGUAGAGACAAAGGACAGGGCUCCAAAUCCAAACUCUGCCACCUAUUACUUCAAGCAAGUCUUUUGAUUUCUUUAUUCUUUUAAGACCCAUCACUAUUCAGAUAGUUCAUCAGGCACUGAGUUCAUAGAGUCAAACUUGAUGAUUGCUGUCAUUACUGAAGAAAAUGGGUCAUCAUACAUUAAUGGUUCUGUGCUCUAAUUGAAUCAGAAGAAGGCUUCAGUUUAUUUAUGAAAAGGUGGUGUUGGCAGAAACAAGAUUAUGUGAUAAUCAACUGUAAUGGACUUGGCUCUUUUUAACAAUGAACUGAUUCAGCCAAUUUUUUAGCCUGUUUGCUUGUUUUUUUCUCAUUUUUCCCCUUUUGAUCUGAUUUUUUUAUUUUCAAAACAUAUGCAAAACAAUUGUAUAAAUAUGUAUGCAUACAUUAGAGUUAACAUAUUUUUACCAUGUUUAACAUAUAUUGGACCACUUGCCAUCUAGGGGAGGGCAUGGGGUAAGAGAGGGAAAAUUGGAACACAAGGUUUUGCAAGAGCUAAUUUUUUUAAUUAAAUAACUUUUUAUUGACAGAACCCAUGCCAGGGUAAUUUUUUACAACAUUAUCCCUUGCACUCUCUUCUGUUCCAAUUUUUCCCCUCCCUCCAUCCCCUUCCCCAAAUGGCAAGCAGUCCUAUACAUGUUAAAUAGGUUACAGUAUAUCCUAGAUACAAUAUAUGUGUGCAGAACCGAACAGUUCUCUUGUUGCAUAGGGAGAAUUGGAUUCAGAAGGUAUAAAUAACCCGGGAAGAAAAACAAAAAUGCAAGCAGUUUACAUUCAUUUCCCAGUGUUCUUUCUUUGGGUGUAGCUGCUUCUGUCCAUCCUUGAUCAAUUGAAACUGAGUUAGAUCUUUUUGUCGAAGAAAUCCACUUCCAUCAAAAUACAUCCUCAUACAGUAUCAUUAUUGAGGUAUAUAAUGAUCUCCUGGUUCUGCUCAUUUCACUUAGCAUCAGUUCGUGUAAGUCUCACCAGUCCUCUCUGUAUUCAUCCUUGCAAGAGCUAAUGUUAAAGAAUUGUCCACACAUAUGUUUUGAAAAAUAAAAAUCUUUAAUAAAAAACAUAUGCAUAGAUAAUUUUCAACAUUCACCCUUACAAAACCUUGUGUUCCAAAUUUUUUUCUUUCCUUUCCCCCCACGGGGGCCCUAGAUAGCAAGUAAUCCAGUGUAUCUUAAAUGUGUGUAAUUCUUCUAUACAUAUUUCUACAAUUAUCAUGUGGCACAAGAAAAAUCAGAUCAAAAAAGUAAAAAAAAAAUUGAAAGAAAACAAAAUGCAAGCAAAUAAUAACAAAAAAUAGUGAAAAUACUAUGUUGUGAUCCAUACUCAAUCCCCACAUCCUCUCUCUAGGUGCAAUUAGCUUUUUUCAUCACAAGACCAUUGGAACUGGCCUGGAUCAUGUCACUGUUGAAAAGAGCUACAUCUGUCAAAAUUGACCAUUGUAUAAUCUUCUUGUUGCUGUGUACAGUGUUCUUCUGGUUCCACUCACUUCGCUUAGCAUCAGUUCAUAGAUCAUUGAUAUUCAAGGAUGUAGCUGUGGACUCCACCCAGGAGGAAUAGAGGCAGCUGGAUCCUGCUCAGAGGAUUCUGUACAGGGGCAUGAUGCUAGAAAAUUAUGGAAACCUGGUCUUAUUGGGUUUGGAGAGUAUAAAGAAAAGCAAGAUGCCAUCUCCACAGGAAACUAUUUCUGAGGAACCAUUGUUAAAGGAAGCAGAAAUGGAAAGAUUUAUAAGGAGUGGACUCUCAUACUUCAAGUUAGGAAAAGCCAGAGAAUGUGAUGGCCACUUGACAAAACAUCAGGGAAUCCAAGAAAAAUAUUUGAAAGAAAUACUUAGUAGCUGUAAAAACACCAUCAUGGGGAAGAGAAAUCUUGAAUGUAAUGAACUUGGGAUAUUCUUUAGACCGAAUUCAGACCUUAUGAAGCAGCAGAAUGGUUUGCUAGGAAACCAGUCCCAUAAAGCAGGAGAAAUGAUCAAACAUAAUUCUAAACUAAUUAAAAAUGAAAGACUGUUUUUAAAGAAAAAGUUUCAUGAAUUCAAUGAAUAUAGGAAAGAAUUUAGUAGAAAUACACAUCUUAUUGAACAUCAGAGAAUCCAUAUUGGUGAGAAACCCUAUAAAUGUCAUAAAUGUGAAAAAGUUUUCAAUAAGGAUUCACACCUUAUUAAAACAUGAGAGAGUACAUAGUAGAGAAAAACCUUAUGAAUGCAAUGAUUGUGGGAGAGCCUUUGGUUGGAGAACACAACAUCAGAGAAUCCAUACAGGCGAGAAACCUUAUGAAUGUAAUGAAUGUGAGAAAGCCUUCAGAUUGAAUACAAUUCUUAUUCAAUAUCAGAGAAUUCAUACUGGAGAGAAACCCUAUGGAUAUAAUGAAUGUGAGAGAGUUUUCAGCCAGUGUACAAACCUUAUUCAGCAUUAGAGAACUCCUAUUGGAGAGAAAUCUUAUGUAUAUAAGGAAUGUGGGAAGGCCUUUAGCAGAAGUACAAAUCUUAGUGAACAUUAAAGAAUUCAUACUGGAGAGAAACCCUACAAACGUAAUAUUUGUGGGAAAAGUUUCAGGAAAAGUGAAAUCCUCACUAAACAUCAGAGAAUUCAUACUGGAGAAAAACCCUAUGAAUGUCAUGAAUGUGAUAAAACUUUCAGCCAGCAUGCACAUCUUACUGGAUACAAGAGAAUUCAUACUGGAGAAAAGCCCUAUGAAUGUAACCAAUGUGGGAAAACCUUCAGAUUGAGUACAAAUCUUGCUCAACACCAGAGAGUUCAUACUGGAGAGAAAUGUAUAUAAAUGUAAUGAAUGUGAAAAAGCCUUCAGUCAGAGUCUAGCCAUGUUCGACAUCAGAGAAUUCAUACUGGUGAAAAACCCUAUGAGUGUCAUGAAUGUGGGAAAGCAUUUAGUGAUAGAGCAUCCCUUAUUAAACACCAGAUGAUACAUACUGGAGAAAAGCCUUUAAAUGUCAUGAAUAUGAGAAAGCCUUCAGUCAAAGUUCAGACCUUAUUUGGCAUCAGAGAAUUCAUGCUGGAGAUUAUAAAAUCUUUGGAGUUUAACAGCUUUCAGCUGUGGGUGGAUCAAUUUUAUAACACAAAAGCAAGGACUAGCAAGAACUGAUCUAGUGUCAAAAAUAGAAGCUGAGGACUCCAAACUUUCAUUCUGUUCCUAACUUGCUUUUACUGUGGUAUUUUUUCCUUAUUCCUUUUUCUGGUUUGUCUUUUCUUGAGUCUAUGUAUCUAACUUGUUCUGAACGGAUAACACUUUUUUCUAAUGUUGCAUUUUGACUCCUGGCUUUCUUACUGACACUGUUUGGCUGACUCUGCUUUUAGUUCAUACUUUCAUCAUGCAAUGAAAUUAUUUUCAACUGCUAGCAGCUCAGCAGAUAAUUAUUGCUUUGCUGAUGUUGGGUAAAUGCACAUGGCUCCCCAUUUCUAUAUAGACCUGGCUUUUUUAAGGUAAAACAAAAGCAAAAACCCUUAGAUCUAGUGGGUCUACUGAAAUAUAAGGCAAUUCCAGAAAGCUAAGGAGUCAAUGAAUGGAUGUGCCAGGUUGUUUCAAUUUUAGAAACAAGAUUUAUUUUGGAAUGAGUUGGUACAACUGUAUCAUGAUUGGUACUGGUAGCUUACCUCUGAAAUAAAGUGGCCUGACUUAG